rnacentral:lncRNA from 1 species
CAAUUAGUCUUGACAAAUUAUCUUGGCAGUUAUGUUGCCUGCGAGUUCAUCUUCUUGUCUGCAAAUUGAUGUGCACCAUAUUGGAUAGCUGAAACAGUUCAGUGGCUUUGCCUUGCAUAUCAUAUCAGUCUAGUGAAUACUCUAUGUUAUAAGUACAUAGAGAUUGAUGUGCACCAUAUUGGAUAGCUGAAACAGUUCAGUGGCCUUGCCUUGCACAUCAUAUCAGUCUAGUGAAUACUCUAUGUUAUAAGUCCAUAGAGAUCGUGUAAUCUUCAGCAUUGCUGCCAAGAAACAUUAUUUGGUAAUUGGCCGGUCAUCUGAUCAAUGCUUCUCAAUGCAGUGCAAGAUAUGCAUGCAGACUUUCAUCUGCACCACCUCUGAAGCAAAGUGCAAGGAGCACGCCGAGGCGAAGCAUCCGAAGAGCGACCUUGUCCAGUGCUUCCCCCACCUCAAGCAGUGAUAUCUGCCAAAUCAGACGGAGAGGGAGAGAUAAAAGAGAGAGAAGCUGUCUUAAUCCACCUAG